UACGGAGGGUGCAAGCGUUAUCCGGAUUUACUGGGCUUAAAGGGUGCGUAGGCGGCUUUUUAAGUCAGUGGUGAAAGACAACAGCUCAACUGUUGCAGUGCCAUUGAUACUGAAGAGCUUGAGUACAGAUGAGGUAGGCGGAAUUUAUGGUGUAGCGGUGAAAUGCAUAGAUACCAUAAAGAACACCUAUUGCGAAGGCAGCUUACUAAGCUGUAACUGACGCUGAGGCACGAAAGUGUGGGGAUCAAACAGG
rnacentral:rRNA from 1 species